UAGCGAAGGGGGCUAGCGUUGCUCGGAAUCACUGGGCGUAAAGGGUGCGUAGGCGGGUCUUUAAGUCAGGGGUGAAAUCCUGGAGCUCAACUCCAGAACUGCCUUUGAUACUGAGGAUCUUGAGUUCGGGAGAGGUGAGUGGAACUGCGAGUGUAGAGGUGAAAUUCGUAGAUAUUCGCAAGAACACCAGUGGCGAAGGCGGCUCACUGGCCCGAUACUGACGCUGAGGCACGGAAAGCAUGGGUA
rnacentral:rRNA from 1 species